rnacentral:rRNA from 1 species
AGGGGGCUAGCGUUGCUCGGAAUCACUGGGCGUAAAGGGUGCGUAGGCGGGGCUUUAAGUCAGGGGGGAAAUCCUGGAGCUCAACUCCAGAACUGCCUUUGAUACUGAAGAUCUUGAGUUCGGGAGAGGUGAGUGGAACUGCGAGUGUAGAGGUGAGAUUCGUAGAUAUUCGCAAGAACACCAGUGACGAAGGCGGCUCACUGGCCCGAUACUGACGCUGAGGCACGAAAGCGUGGGGAGCAAACAGG